UGCAUGUGUACCUGCGUGCACCCCCUACUUGUCGCCCCUGCCAAGCAGUGGUGGUAGUGUGGCUGGCUGGCCGCAGAUAUUUUUAUGUCUUCCCACCUUAAGUUACUGCCUGGGACUGCUACCCCAGUCACCUUCUCCCUGUCCCUCCCCUUUCAGUUAUGUUACUGUACUAACAAUCCUAUGCAUUUGGUUUCCUGUCAAGGCUGUCUACUGUUGUGAUACAGCAUGCUUAGAAAACAUCCUGAGGAAUUUAAUUAGGUUAAUAUUUCCCUUAAUUUUACCCUCCAUGCAAUAGGUGAAACUCUGACCAUUACUGCUGAAGUCACUAAAAAAUGUCAGCGAUGUCAGCAGUGCCAGGAAGAGUUGGAAUUUUCAAACUGAGGCGCUCAACUUUAGGCAACUUGUUCCAAUGAGUCUUGAAUACUCUUAGGACAAACUUAGCUUUAUCCUGCCAAUAAUGCAUAACUUUUAUCCAGUAUCAUGAAUGGAUGUUUUUCUUCUAUAUGACUGCAUCCACAGACCUAACCUGCUAUUGCAGUUUUCUGCAAUGUCAAUAGAAAUUACAUUAUUAAAUAGGAUUAAGUUGGGCUGUGACUGGGCAGGAGUCUAUUUGUGUGUAUGGAAGAAGACCCUGCACAACUUCUAGCUCUUAGAUGUAACUUCAAAGUUUGUAGAGAGAGUGCCAUUAAUGCAAGCAUAAUUUAAAUCCAGUCUACAGAAGAAAACAAUGUAUUCGAUCAAUAAGAGUGAAGUAUGGAUCAGAGGAACACACCAGUGCAGUAUUACUAGUAUGUAUCUAUCACAUAAAACUAGGUAGCAGACUAUAUAAUGGAUAUAAACAUGAUAUGGACUAUUAUAACAUAUAAAAAUAAAGGAUCAGAUUCUG